AUAAAUGCCUAGAAUGGGAAGAGUAAGCGAAUAUAUGCUGCCAGAGAAAGAAGGUCACCGGCUGAAAGCCUUCUUAAGCAAAGGUCGCUGAAGUGCGCCCGGGAGCAGGUAUGCUGAACUUAAGUAGGUAUACCCGGUUUUAAACCGUUAUAUUCGAAAGAGGAGUGCCUUGGCACUCAAACAGGGUGGAACCGCGGAAGCAAUUAACCUUUCGUCUCUGAU
rnacentral:ncRNA from 1 species